rnacentral:rRNA from 1 species
CAGUCGUACGCUUCUUUUUCCCCGGAGCUUGCUCCACCGGAAAAAGAAGAGUGGCGAACGGGUGAGUAACACGUGGGUAACCUGCCCAUCAGAAGGGGAUAACACUUGGAAACAGGUGCUAAUACCGUAUAACAAUCGAAACCGCAUGGUUUUGAUUUGAAAGGCGCUUUCGGGUGUCGCUGAUGGAUGGACCCGCGGUGCAUUAGCUAGUUGGUGAGGUAACGGCUCACCAAGGCCACGAUGCAUAGCCGACCUGAGAGGGUGAUCGGCCACAUUGGGACUGAGACACGGCCCAAACUCCUACGGGAGGCAGCAGUAGGGAAUCUUCGGCAAUGGACGAAAGUCUGACCGAGCAACGCCGCGUGAGUGAAGAAGGUUUUCGGAUCGUAAAACUCUGUUGUUAGAGAAGAACAAGGAUGAGAGUAACUGUUCAUCCCUUGACGGUAUCUAACCAGAAAGCCACGGCUAACUACGUGCCAGCAGCCGCGGUAAUACGUAGGUGGCAAGCGUUGUCCGGAUUUAUUGGGCGUAAAGCGAGCGCAGGCGGUUUCUUAAGUCUGAUGUGAAAGCCCCCGGCUCAACCGGGGAGGGUCAUUGGAAACUGGGAGACUUGAGUGCAGAAGAGGAGAGUGGAAUUCCAUGUGUAGCGGUGAAAUGCGUAGAUAUAUGGAGGAACACCAGUGGCGAAGGCGGCUCUCUGGUCUGUAACUGACGCUGAGGCUCGAAAGCGUGGGGAGCAAACAGGAUUAGAUACCCUGGUAGUCCACGCCGUAAACGAUGAGUGCUAAGUGUUGGAGGGUUUCCGCCCUUCAGUGCUGCAGCUAACGCAUUAAGCACUCCGCCUGGGGAGUACGACCGCAAGGUUGAAACUCAAAGGAAUUGACGGGGGCCCGCACAAGCGGUGGAGCAUGUGGUUUAAUUCGAAGCAACGCGAAGAACCUUACCAGGUCUUGACAUCCUUUGACCACUCUAGAGAUAGAGCUUCCCCUUCGGGGGCAAAGUGACAGGUGGUGCAUGGUUGUCGUCAGCUCGUGUCGUGAGAUGUUGGGUUAAGUCCCGCAACGAGCGCAACCCUUAUUGUUAGUUGCCAUCAUUCAGUUGGGCACUCUAGCAAGACUGCCGGUGACAAACCGGAGGAAGGUGGGGAUGACGUCAAAUCAUCAUGCCCCUUAUGACCUGGGCUACACACGUGCUACAAUGGGAAGUACAACGAGUCGCGAAGUCGCGAGGCUAAGCUAAUCUCUUAAAGCUUCUCUCAGUUCGGAUUGUAGGCUGCAACUCGCCUACAUGAAGCCGGAAUCGCUAGUAAUCGCGGAUCAGCACGCCGCGGUGAAUACGUUCCCGGGCCUUGUACACACCGCCCGUCACACCACGAGAGUUUGUAACACCCGAAGUCGGUGAGGUAACCUUUGAGC